rnacentral:antisense_RNA from 1 species
GUUUGAAAGGCUGAGGGUGAAGGAGCGACAGAUCUGAAAAUAGCCGGAGCUGAGGGGGCCUCAGGGUCCACCCUGACUCGCUUUUCCCGGACGGCCUCUUAGGAGAGAGGCUGUGGCCAGCUGACGCGACUUCCUUCUGCUACUGAGGUGAGAAGCCUUAGGGCAGAUGCGGAUGUCCAGGGCUUCGAGAUGGAGUCUCACUGUGGCACCCAGGCUGGAGUACAGUGGUAUGAUCUCGGCUCACUGCAACUUCCACCUCCCAGGAUCAUGCAAUUCUCCCUGCCUCAGCCUCCUGAGUAGCUGGGAUUACAGGCGCCCACCAUAAUGCCUGGCUAAUUUUUGUAUUUUUUUAGUAGAGAUGGGGUUUCACGAUGUUGGUCAGGCUGGUCUUGAACUCCGGACCUCAAGUGAUCUACCCGCCUCGGCCUCCCAAAGUGCUGGGAUUACAGGCAUGAGCCACCACCCGGCCAGUUUUCAAACCUA